ACCGCUGGGGGAGCUUAUGGCUGAGAGCGGGCGUUUGCCCGGACCCUUAGAACCUGUUGUGGAUAAUGCCACCGUAGGGAAGCGAA
rnacentral:ncRNA from 1 species